GAAAGCAAUUACACGUCUGAUUUGAGUAUCUAAAAGAGGAAGAAAGAACUUGAGGUGUCCCCUUAGUUAUAGGACAAAGCUGUGGUCCUCCAACACAUGAGGAGGCUCCCGGGCUAUCGGUGGAGGACCGGUUCAACUUAAUCUCUCCUCCGAUGCACACUUUAAAUGCAAGCCAAAACCCUCUCUCACAUCCAUCCAUCAGCUAAACAAAGGGGAGCAGCAGCAUCUACAGAGAAGAUCCAGAUGGCAAACACCAAGGCCGUCGCCGUCGCUCUCCUCUGCGUGAUGGUGCUCUCUGUCGCUGCCGUCGACGCCGUCUCCUACACGACGGUGGACAACUCGUGCUUCUGCUUCUGCAUGAUCGAGCGGUGCAUGGUCACCCCCGGCGCCACCAAAGAGGCCUGCGCCCCCCCCUGCGACGAAGGCUGCGUCAAGGCCGGCCUCCAUGGCCGGAUCGACGAACAUGACUUCUGUGGGUACCGAUGAGUUCACCGUGCCGGGUUGGAGGUUCAACCAAGCUGUUCCUUCUCUGAUACCUUCAUCAUGUUACUGUGUUUGCCUCAACCUUGGCAUUGCCACUUGUUGCCUCUGAUUCUAGUGGAUGUUCUUGUUGCUUAUUAAUAUCAUAUCUCUUUUCUAAAUUAUGUUCGAUUAAAAAUUUAUUAAUGAUUGAGUUUAUUGGGCACACAGUAAACAAUUAUGCAUCAUAUGUAAUCUGUUUAUACAACGCAAUGAUAAACCCAUCCCGAACAAAUACAAACCUUAUAAAUUACUUUUAACUCGUGAUUGAAUCAGGAAUAUUUGUGUCAUGACUUGGCAGGGGUGCGCCAAGCCCGUGCCGUAGUGCAACGCAUGGGCUACGCUCGAGGGCCCCGGCAGCAAGCUACCGUGGUGGGCCCUCCCCAACAAGAAAUUAAUUUAAUAUCAUGGUGAGUCAAUGACCCACGUAUCAGAUAUUAAACUGAUAAGAACAGAUACUACACUUGAUCUUAGCCAAAAGGCCGAGAAAGGUAUGCUUUCGUAAGGAGCCAUCGACCUCCUUUUAUAGUCUCCUGUCUUGCUCUUCGUUCUGUUCCCAGCGAUGUGGGAUAACUCAAGCCUCACCACGACGAACAAAGCCAAAACCAUCUUCUUGGUUUAGAAGAACGAUGGGUUCCAUACUGAAGAUGAUGAUGGAAUCCACGCCUUCAAAACUCUCUUCCUAAAUCUGGACACCAGAUAAUUAGAGUGUGUCGCCAUGAAGCUGUCAUCACUGAGACUCCCUUUGAGGUCAGAAUGAUGUGUAUGAAUGAAAAACAAAAGAGACAAGCUUCAAGCUGUUAGGCGAUGGUUCUCGAUAGAUUUCUGAUCAUCGAGUGAAUAAGGCUGAUCGAUUAUACCACUUAGACAAGCUAUGAAGAGUGUCCCAUCGAAAGAGCUUGUAUGCUCUGAGGUCCUAUAGAUGAAGAUUCAGCAUCCAAGUGCGUCGAAACAGAAUCAAUCAUGUUUGGUGUAUAUAGGUGAAACCAACGUGAAUCAACUGGAAAUGCAAUAGCAUAUUGUGAUUGCUUAUCGAUGAGCGUUCCAUUCGGAUCAAGAGAACUAACUGACAGAAUUGCACUCACUGAUCCACCGCUGCAUAUCCAUGUAAACAAAAGACUUUUGAGAGGAGUUGUUGAGAGUCGUUGUACAAGCAGUUAUGGAGGAGAAUGAAGGAAGAAGACCAAAUGACGAAACGUUCCACGCAGAGAUGCCAGAGCAAGAACCGGUUUGCUUGCGGAAGAGUGGUGGUAGUGCCACCUCUCGCUUCCUCUCUCUAUUUCAGACUCGGCGAAUCACCACUAAACGAAGGAUGCCACAGCUGCGGUGGAUGCUCGCUCGGCCUUCGUCUUCCCCGCCUCGAUCUGGGAAGCCAAGAAUUAGGCUCUUGUUCUUCUCCGGAAGCCUAAUUGUUGGAAUAAUUUUCUCAAAGAAAAGGGAGAUCGCAAAGCGAUGAUAAUUUCGACGAGAGAAAAAAACGAAUUAAGAAGGAUUAGGAGGACCUUUUUGUUCUUCUCGACAGGAGAAGUUGUCGCUUCAUCAGGACCAGAAGAUGAGGGGGAGGCGGUCGACUCUGACGGCUCCGGCAGAGUGGCGAACAAGAACGUCGGCGGAGAAGAGGAUGGCGAGAUCAUGACGAUCGGUUCAAGAUGGGAAGCGAGUCGAGGGGAGAGACAGCGUACGAAGGGGGAGCCAGGAGUGCCGGGCGAGUUGCUGGAGGAUGGGGAUUGGGUCAGGGAGGAGGUGGUGGAUGAUGACGAGGAAGGGGAGGGGAGCGGGGAGGACAAGGAGAGGCGGUAGGCGGAAGGGAAUGGAGAGGAGGAGCGGGGCGAAAGGUCGAAGCGAGAGAGGGAAGCGACGACGGCGUGAGGGGGAGGGGGAGAAGGCGGGGAGCAGGGAAGAAGAUCAUAGACGAGGAGUUUCUUGCGGGAGCGGGUGGUGGGUCGAAGGCAGCGACGCUUGCGGAUGCCGAAGCAGGGGCAGGGCCCGACGAAGGCGACGGCGGAACCCUCGAUGCGUAGCUCCGGUGAGUAGAGUUGCGCCAUCGUGGCUGCUUCCGGUGACAUCUCGAUGAUUUCCAUCGCUCAGUGUUUCUCGUUCUCUGUUCUUGAAUGGAUGAUUUAACAUGGAGGGCAAAGGCUUAUAAAAGGAACAUGGUAUUCCUUACCCAAAUAUAUACCCAUCGACUUUAAUCGUAGACAAAAUAAUACAGGCCAAGAUUAACCAACCAGCCCUUGGUAAAGAAUCAGACGGCGCAGUUUAACUCUUUAAAAUUGCGAAGUAGGGCAAUAUUUAAAUCAAGCUUUGAUAGGGUGCGCCAGGCCCGUGCGGUAGUGCAACGCAUGGGCGACGCCCGAGAGCCGCGGCAGCAAGCUACCGUGGUGGGCCCUCUCCCAUAAUAAAUUAAUUUAAUAUCAUAGUGGAUCGAUGACCCACGUAUCAGAUAUUAAACUGAUAAGAACAGAUACUACACUUGAUCUUAGCCAAAAGGCCGAGAAAGGUAUGAUUUGAAAUGGAGAAAUCGACCUCUUUUAUAGUCUCCUCUCUUGCAUGUCGCUCCGCUCCUAGCAAUGUGGGACUAAAGAUGCGUCUACAUUUGGGCUCGUGAUGACAGCACAACAUCAAGAAAACACCACUAAAAUCAGUUCAAAAUUCCACUCGAAAUAUUAGAAUUAUAUAUGAGCUAAACAGUCUAAAAAGUAUGACUUCUUUGUGUGGUAAAGCCAUCAUAACCAGUCGAAUGCCAUCAGAAUAAGCCAACAAAACCUACCAAGUCAGCACUCGAAUAUCAUAAGAAUGUUCUUAGCUUCCCGAUCGUGAAGUUGACUUAAAAUUGUAGAUAAAUAGGUUUAUUGAUUGUAUAAAACUACAUUAUUGUUGUGGACAGUGAGCUGAAAAUAACAAAAGAUUGGUUCUAAAAACGAGAAAUGCAUUUGCGUUUGUAAGUAUCAACGGGGAUUAAGAGAGUUUACUCGAAAUCUAAGAAGGCGUAGACUAACCAACCAGCCCUUGGUAGAGAAGUAGGGGCAACAUUUAAAUCAAGCUUUGAUAGGGUGCGCCGGGCCCAUGGGGUAGUGCAACGCAUGGGCGACGCGCGAGAGCCCCGGCAGCAAGCUACCGUGGUGGGCCCUCUCCCAUAAUAAAUUAAUUUAAUAUCAUAGUGGAUCGAUGACCCACGUAUCAGAUAUUAAACUGAUAAGAACAGAUACUACACUUGAUCUUAGCCAAAAGGCCGAGAAAGGUAUGAUUUGAAAUUAAGACAUCGACCUCUUUUAUAGUCUCCUCUCUUGCAUUUCGCUCCGCUCCUAGCAAUGUGGGACUAAAGAUGCGCCUGCAUUUGGGCUCGUGUUGACAGCACAACAUCAAAAAAACACCACUAAAAUAAGUUCAAAAUUCCACUCGAAAUAUUAGAACUAUACAAGAGCUAAACAGUCUAAAAAGUAUGACUUCUUUGUGUGGUAAAGCCAUCAUAACCAGUCGAAUCCCAUCAAAAUAAGCCAACAAAACCUACCCAGUCAGCACUCUAAUAUCAUAAGAAUGUUCUUAGCUUCCCCGAUCGUGAAGUUGACUUAAAAUUGUAGAUAAAUAGGUUUAUUGAUCGUAUAAAACUACAUUAUUGUUGUGGACAGUGAGCUGAAAAUAACAAAAUAUUGGUUCUAAAAACGAGAAAUGCAUUUGCGUUUGUAAGUAUCAAACAGGGAUUAAGAGAGUUUACUCGAAAUCUAAGAAGGAUUAGAUUAACCAACCAGCCCUUGGUAGAGAAUCAGACGGCGCAGAUAACUCUUUAAAAUUGCGAAGUAGGUCAACAUUUACAUCAAGCUUUGAUAGGGUGCGCCGGGCCCGUGCUGUAGUGCAACGCACGGGCGACGCGCGAGGGCCCCGGCAGCAAGCUACCGCGGUGGACCUUCUCCCACAAUAAAUUAAUUUAAUAUCAUAGUGGAUCGAUGACCCACGUAUCAGAUAUUAAACUGAUAAGAACAGAUACUACACUUGAUCUUAGCCAAAAGGCCGAGAAAGGUAUGAUUUGAAAUGAAGACAUCGACCUCUUUUAUGGUCUCCUCUCUUGCAUGUCGCUCCGCUCCUAGCAAUGUGGGACUAAAGAUGCUCCUGCAUUUGGGCUCGUGAUGACAGCACAACAUCAAAAAAACACUACUAAAAUAAGUUCAAAAUUCCACUCGAAAUAUUAGAACUAUAUAAGAGCUAAACAGUCUAAAAAGUAUGACUUCUUUGUGUGGUAAAGCCAUCAUAACCAGUCGAAGAAUAAGCCAACAAAACCUACCCAGUCAGCACUCUAAUAUCAUAAGAAUGUUCUUAGCUUCCCCGAUCGUGAAGUUGACUUAAAAUUGUAGAUAAAUAGGUUUAUUGAUUGUAUAAAACUACAUUAUUGUUGUGGACAGUGAGCUGAAAAUAACAAAAGAUUGGUUCUAGAAACACGAGAAAUGCAUUUGCGUUUGUAAGUAUCAAACAGGGAUUAAGAGAGUUUACUCGUAAAGAACCUUUAGUGCACAAAUUAACUUGAUUAAACACAGUGCCAGGGAAAGCUAUUUAGUUGUUGUAGCCUGUGGUAUGGUAUAGACAGAAAGUAUCAUCGGAUCUUUCACUUGAUCCACCAAACCCAAACCACAUACAAGAUUGAAUCAAUUCUUCCAAGUUCAGAAGCUUAUACCCUCCAUCAAGAUUUCAACAAUAAAGGCAUCUGGCAAUUACUGUGACAACUCGGAUGCUUCCAGCAACGACUACUGAAGAGGCAAAGCAUCAUCUAGGAAGCCUUACAGCACACCUUACUUUUUGGAAUCUCUUGCGCUGGGCCAGGGAUGAUGAUCUUCUUUGCAGGCAGUGUCGGUGCACUGUUGUUGCUCUGAGGGUCAGAGGUCAGGCUCUUCUUGUUGACGAUGUUGAAAAUCUCAGUCAGCACAGUCUGGAAGGCGUUCUCCACAUUGGUAGCAUCUAGCGCUGAUGUUUCCAGAAAGAAGAGGUUUUCUUUCUGAGCAAAUUCCCGGGCAUCUUCCAUCGGUACAGCUCUCUGGCCCUCGAGAUCAGUCUUGUUUCCAACUAACAUGAUCACAAUGUUUUUGUCAGCAUGGCUCCGCAGCUCCUCAAGCCACCGAGGAAUGUGGUCAAAGCAUUGACGUCUGGUGAUAUCGUAAACAAUCAAGGCCCCAACUGCUCCUCUGUAGUAUGCACUUGUGACAGCUCUAUACCUGUACUAGGUAAAAAUCAUCAGCAACGAUUCAUCACAUCCAAAACAAGACGGCAAACACAAGAAGCCCCAAAUCAUCAGGUAAUAAGUGACAUUAUCACAAGAAUCAUAUAAGAAGUGAGUUCAACAAGGUAACAAAUAACUAACAUAAUAACACAGACAUAACGAUAGCAGGUCACAAGUAAAAUACGAAUCAGUUAGCUAAUCACUGUCUAAAAACAUGGGUAUCAAUAUGAUCAUCAUAUGGAAUUCAACAAGCAUUAGGAGCCUUCAUUAUGCUGCAAAGAAACAUGUAGCUCAGAUGCAGAAUAAAGUAAAUUCCAUGCAUCAAUACCUUUCUGUGAGGCGCACUUAACUGACAACCUUUCAUGCCUCAGAAAGAGGAGACGGAGAGAACACAUAAUUUUAAUAUAUUCUCUAGAGUUUUACCAAUCUAUUCCAAUAGAGACACUUUAAGCAUCACUGCUAUGCCACAUCCAUCUUUUUCAAUAUAAUAUUAAUGCCAACAUAUGUUUCCUAUUAAUGAAAUUUACAUGGUUCAACUCCAUGAAAAGGCACAGUAACUAUUAAAUAUAUACAAAAUUAGAUCAAAAGAAAUUCAAGUUGUACUGAAGCAUGUAUCUUGAAUAUAAAUUUGUGUAUCUAGCAACCAAACAGAUUUCUGCAGCUGGUAGUAUCAUCUUAUGUUUACAUAGUUUUGAUAAACAAUGUGUAUAGCUGCCUGACAUAUAAAGGUUGAAUAACAGGUUAAGAAAAUGUUGUUUGUAUAUCAGUAAUUUUAGAAAAGGAUGUAGACAAAUUUUCAUGUCAAAUCCCAUUUUGAAAGAUAGUGAUCGACGGUGAUGUACAAAAUUUCUCUUUCAAUUUACUAGUUUCACACAUGCCAGCUAACAUAGUUCAGUGCCAAAUUAUGGUCCUACAGAACAUUUAUGGUUGCAUAAUUGUCCGACCAUAUGCCACCAUAUGGUUUAUAACUGGUUAAGGAUGAGUUUAAUAGUACCUUAAUAUGAUGGCUCGUUGAUCUUCAUUCAUUUAGUCUGAAAAGAUUAUUACUAUUAAAAUCGGAUUCACAUAGCAAUUUGCCACAAAGUCAAACAUUAAUAAGGUUAAUAUUUAACAUCUAGUCUUGCAGACAAAGCUAAUUAUAAGAAGGGCCUUUUUGGAUGUCUAACACCAAGCAUCAACACCUCAUAGAUGAGACAGCCAGUUGCAGUUCCAUUUGAAUAGUCUCAAAGUGGGAAUGUCAUCUGCUCUCAAAAUUUCAGGAAGUAAAUACACCUACAAGGUGAUUUUUAUGUCCAGAAAAAUCAUAUCACUAGCUAUGCCCUCAAGUUUUUCCUGGUGCCUCCCAAACUCCCUAUCUAAGUCACUAUUACCAAGAGGAAAAACUUAUGUCCAGUAAAAAUUAUCUCGCUAGAAGGAAUACCACCACCCAGAGUUAUAAACAGAACCUAAAUAUCUAUGCUUUGCUACUUCGAACUGUGAGCAGAGUGAUCGACUUCAUAUUACAUGUCAAUUAGAAAACAUCAAACAAGAUUGAUAAGGAUAAGUAAAGUAGUGAAAUAAUCUUCAAUCAUCUGCUCUGUUCGAAGCACGGGCAAAGCAAAGAGAUCUAAAGCUCUAACCAUCAGCUCUGUUUAGAGCAUGAUCAGUCCCUCAACCACCACCACAAAUGCAAUGAGCACAACCAAUUAAAACACAAGCAUUCAUCUCCACCGACAUUUCAUCAGCUAAACUCACAGAUAGAUCAGAUCAAUAGAGUUAAACCAAGUCGAAGAAAAAGAAAGCAUCCGCGCCUAAAUCUGCCUUUCAUAUACUAAAUAAGACGCUUAAGAAUCAAGCAUUAACACCAAAAAGCUAAAUCACUACAACCCAACAAGAAACCGAAUCACUCAAAGCAAAGUCACAUGGAUCAAAGCACUAAAGUCUGGAACCAAUCAGAUUCGUACCAGAGCUCGUAGAUCUAAAGAGCACAAGUAGAGGUUCGGAGUGAAAGAGGGUAAGUGCUUGGGGGGAGCAAAGGUGGCACCUCUCUUGGCCGGCGGUGUCCCAGAUCUGGGCCUUGACGCUCUUGUGCUGGAUGACGAGGGUUCGCGUCUGGAACUCCACUCCGAUGGUGGCCUUGGAGUCGAGGCUAAACUCGUUCCGCGCGAACCGCGCCAGGAUCUGCGAUUUCCCCACCGCCGAGUCCCCGAUCAGCACCACCUUGAACACAUAGUCGAUCUUGUCACUGCCUCCGCCCGCCAUUCCCGCCAAUGCUCCACCACCACCGACGCCGCGCUCGACCUGCUCUCUUCCGUUCCGGUAGAAGAGUAGAGCACCCGGUCACCUCACACGGUUGCGUCCGACGCCAGGCAGGACAGGGGUCAAAAGUCAGGAUACUUUUUGCCGAGUCCGCUCACCAUCUGUGAGCGGUGAGCAGCCGAGCACCUCCCCGAUCGAGAGCAACACUUUACCUACCAUUUAUGUUGUUACCGGAACAACUACCUACCGAAUUAUUCGGCUUUUGCAAGCGGGGCCGACCAUCGGUCUCGAUACUUGGUACACUCUAGUGUAAGAUUGAUGGGUAGGUUAAGCAAUUUGGACAUGCUAUCACAAUCCUGUCCGCCCGCCGUUCUCGAGACACGGAAAUAAGUGGUCGGAGAUGGAGUUCAUCAGCCACUGUGCGGGCGACCGCAUAUUGUUUUCAUGUACGCAAUACGCCUGAAUUAAAACAACAAUAUUUUUUAAAGAUAAUUAACCCUGAAUUGCAAAAGAAAAAAACAUUAAGAUUUUUUUUUCUCUUCGUGUAAAUAAAACAUGAUGUGUUAACACCAAAUAUAUGAGCUAUAAGAAAUUAUAAUAUUCAUGUCAAUUAAACAAAUAACAAUAUAUUUACGGAAAAAACCAUAGUUAUGUAGGAAAAUAAUUUCAGUGAUCAGAAUUGAUGUGAUUAAAAAUAGCCCUAUGUAUCAACUAAAAUAUAACGUGGAAUUAUAAAUUUGGUUUUAAAUUUUGAAUCAGCCAUUCAAUCAUCCAUAAUUUUUUUUUAUCAUAAAAUAUUUUAUUUUCUCACAAAAUUUUUAAAUGACACUCGAUCCACUAUAGCAUUCGAUCUCAUCACAAUAUUUGCAUUAGGAGAUGAGAGGGUCGGAUAGUGGAUAUCCGGUGUGUACCUAGUAAAAACUUCUCUAAUGUUUAACUUAGUAAGAAUAUUUUAUUAUGAUGAUAGCGUUAUAUAGUCGGACGUUUCAAUAUGGUCUCAUAAGCAUACAUAGAGCACGUUUAUAAAAGGAAAAUUAAUUCAUAAAACUAUUUUACGAAAUAAUCUAGGGGGCACAUAUGAAGCCAUUUAGCAUUACAAUUACAGGUGAUAUAACAGGUAUCACCCAGCAUAUAAGACGACGCCGCAUAGCAUAGAGCCGCUCUAGAAAAUUUGGAACGGUGCUAUGCAACAUAGAUCCAUGCAGCUCGGUCGGCACUCACACAUGAAUUAUAAGUCUGCUGCCCCAAUGAGUCGAUCGUGUAUGAUCGACCUUCGUUCGUAAGUAUAAAAGUCGAUUCCUUAAUCAACAUUAGGGAAGACCUUGAACACUUUAAUUUGAUUUAACCUCACUUAACAUUGACUUGAUUUGAGGAACAAAGUCAGGAAACCCCCUCCCGGCUUUGGCCUUUAUACAAGGAUUUGGAGGAGAAGAAGAAGUAAUCUGUCGAAGGAGAGAUCACACUUGGGAGACAGAGUUUCGACUUAACUCGACGUGACAUCGUUGUUCCUCAGCCAUAGCCUUUGUAUGAGCAACUGUCUGCAUUUAGGAUCGGAUAAAAUCAUAUUGAUACCUCAAUUACGGUAUAAGAAUCCUCACAAUACGUGACUGAAUGAGCCCGGAAUCAUUUGUCACGAGGACAAUGUUAUUGAUGCUGGCGCAAUGUAUCAUAUAUAUAAGAAUCUAAUUAUAUGAUAACUAGAUUUAAGAAUUUAUUUAUAUUAAACUCAAUUAAUCCUAUGACACGUGUCACAUGCAACCACCAAACAUUUUAUUACAAAACAUAAAAUAGAGAAGAGAAGGAAAACAAACUUGGUGAAUUUAACUCAUUAAUAUUUUCAUCAACUAUUGUUGCUCUUCAUAUAUAUAUAUAUAUAUAUAUAUAUAUAUAUAUAUAUAUAUAUAUAUAUAUAUAUAUAUUUAUAUUCCAAAAAAUAGAGAAAGCAUGCUCACUGUCAUGUUAGGAGGACCUGCAAAGAGAAAAUGCUAUUAUCACGUUUUGUUUUAGUUAUCUUUCUGUAUUUUGUGUGUGUAGACUAAAGACAAAACUCUAGUAUUAAUAACUUUAAAAGAAAAUUAAUUGAGAAAAAAAACUGCCUGUUCUCUCUCAUCCGUGUAAGUAUUUUUGUUUGUUUAAGAUACGUAAAUUUUCGCUACCCAAAAAUGUGAUUUAUUAACCUAAUAAGUUUUAUCGUUAACUUCGCAUUAUGUUGCCAUAAAGAGAGAUAAAAAAGAUAUAUAUUCCCAUCAAGUAACGGCCGACACAGAAGAGUUCGUAUCAGCGGUAGAUGCGUCCGAGAAUUGUAGCGGCCGUCAUCAUGACAUCAUUCUAAAAGCAUAAAGUUUGUAUGCGGGAGGGUAAACUGCGCAUAAGAGGGCGAUGGAGCCGUCAGAAACAUGAGCGAGCCGCGCAGCGUAGGGGGCGAGACGAUGGACGAGGAGGAGCACGAGGUUUACGGAGGAGAGAUCCCCGACGAGGCCGACAUGGACGCCGACGUCGACAUGGCCCUCCCCAACGAGAACGCCGCCAAGGUAAUUCUCUUUCCGGUCACCCCUUUCCCUUCUAGGAACCCGCGGAACCCUAACCCUAAAUUCUUAACUCUGUCGGUUCGAAUCAGUUGCAGGAGCUGGACGAGAUGAAAAGGCGACUCAAGGAGAUGGAGGAUGAGGCCGCUGCCCUCCGCGAGAUACAAGCGAAGGUCGAGAAAGAGAUGGGCGCCGUCCAAGGUCCGAUCUCCUCUUCCCCCUUCUCCAUCUCUAUGGUCUCAUCCCGUUCUCCCUGAUAUGGUGAACCGACGCUUCUGAUUUGUCUUUUUAGUUAUGAGAUGUUCGAUCGAUAUCAUUCUAGAGCGUGAUCGGUGCAUCAGUGUAUGAAAAUGCUCUUAUGUUGUAGGGAAAUGUUAUGAGAAGAUGUCGGUGACGUUUUGGUACGUCUAAGUUAGUAACAUGAGGUUGAUGAGUUUGGUCAUGAGUGGUCAAAGGGGAUCCUCAGUAACUGUACUAAGAGCGAGUUUUUAUAUAUGAUGUAGAGGGAUAGCAGAGGGGCGGAAUAUUCUGUGGGGAGGUAUAGCUCUUAAUCGCGUCUCUCAGCCUAUAUUUGUCCUUUUGUUAACAUAGAUGGCAAUAGAGGAUGCAGCCCACAACUGUCUGCUUUGUACUCGUGUCCACACGGAUAGACCGGUGGGGGGUAAUUUUUGUCUCUUUCUUCUGGUUUGGAUCUCACGUGAUGGUGAUUGAUCGACUGAUCGACGAUAUCUUUCAUAUCAGAAAGUUAUGAGAUGGGGGUUGGAGUUUCAUUAGUUCUUUAGUUGAGCCAUAGGGUUUUGACCCAUCUCCCUUUAUCGAUGAUUUGGUGCUUCUGGUUUGUUGAUUUAGUUGUGGGAUGUUCUCUUGAUGUUAUUAUCAAGCGCAAUCGAUGCAUCAGGAUGGGAAUUCAAUGUCCAUGAUGGAAUCUCAUUUGUUUUACUGUACCUAUUAGUUUACAACUUUCCUAUGAAAAUUCAUGCACAGUCCAUUUAGUAUAAUAGUUGCAAAAAUCGUGGCAAAUGAUUUGAUUUCGAGGUUUAGUGUGUUGUGAAUUAAUUCCUUAAGUUUAGUAUACUAUGGUUACUCGUGGUGAACAAUUUCUUGGUCCACUUUUCAUGCAUAAUAUUGAGAUUCAUAUCACAUUGAACCUAAUGCCUAAGCCAACUUAUAAAAGCAAGCACAAUAAGCAUUUAUACCAAUUCACUUCAUCCUUUACUUCCUUACCUGAACUAUUCAGGACAUCACAUUGGUAGUGUGACUGUGUCACAGCGCAGAAGAUGUUGAUACUGAUUAGCAGUUUGUUUGUUUAUUGUAUUGUUGUGCUGGGAUUUGCAAAUUGACAUUGCUUUCAUUGUUUCCAGUAAGUUUGAUAUUAAAAACUUUAUGCUUGGGUAUAAUGAAAAGGCAUUCUGAGUUAUUUCCUCUUUAUAAUAGUUCCAUCAUGUAUUUAUUAAUCUUCAUUCUGGAAUAUGUGUAGAAUCGUCUAGUGCUGCAGCAACUCAAGCAAGCAAGGAGGAGGUUGAUGCACGCUCAGUAUUUGUUGGCAAUGUGAGUUGCGUAAUUUCACUAUUUUGUGGUUCUGUUGAACUAAUAUGUACUCAUGCAUCUCUCCUAGAAUGGUUAUGAAUGCAAUCUCGUGUGUUGUGUUCCUUUUUAUUUUGGGUAUUUGCCCAUUGUUGACUUCAUUAAUACAUGUUAUGGAUUUUGUGGCACCUUUUGAUGCUUUAGUUAGGCUCUAGAGCCUUAUCCACCUCACAUAUUUUUAAACCUGACCCGAGUUUGGCAAAACCAAAACCGGUCAACGGUUCUGAAUCGGAAUCAGGAUUGGGUGGUUUGGUUCCCCCCUUUGAAUCAGAUCCCACAAUUCCGGAUCGGUUUCGAAUUUGGGUGAAGAAAAAGGGAAAUAGUCACAUGAUGUAGCGAGAGUCAAUGGUCAAUUUGACCAUUGCAAUGAUGAUCAAAAGACUAUUCUGCCCCUUCCAAUGGCUUAAUAAAAGGUUAAUUGAAAUGACAUUUUGGGGAAUUAAAAUUAUAAAAUUUGAAUUUUUAAAGGAUUGUUUUGUCCUUUCUAACAACUAAAUAAUGACUAAGAAAUUAUGAAAAAUCUAUAAAUAUCCUCCUCUAUUUCAUUCUUCUGUAUACCAAAUUAAAACCAAUCUCUUUACUCUCUAGUGCUCUCUAAUUGCAAUAAAAAUCUCUCUAAUGCUCUCUAAUUGCAAUAUGACAAUCUCUCUAUUGUGCUUUAAUUGCAAUAGCAAUCUCUUUAAUGCUCUCUAAUCGCAAUAUGGUAAGUGAAAGUUCAAUGCCUCCCAACUUUAACAAGCACCCAGCCAUGGUACGAAUUUAAGGAAGUCAACAUUUCCGCAUGGAGAAAGAAGAUAUUACAAAGAUCCAUUUCAAGAAAUAAGAAAUUUUGAUGGUUCAUUUCCGGAAAUUUAUAACUAUUGCUCUCAAAAGUAUUAAAUUAGAGAAGGAUGUGAAUAUGAGACGUUUAGGAAGCACAUCGACAAAUUCCAAUGUCAAAUUGUCAAAUACACAAUUAUUUUUUAAAAUCCAAAAUUUGCAUUAUGUUUUUAAAUUUCUCAAAAUGCUUCAAUUAAUCGUUUAUUAAGUUGUUGGAUGAGGCAUAAUGGUGUUUUUACCAUUAUUGCAACGGUAAAGAUGGCUGUUGGAUCUGUGUUUCCUUUUCUUUCACCUGGUUCGGAACUGUGGAGCCAUCUAAACAUUUCCCGUUUUGGUUUCCAUUGGUUUGGGUUCAAACCGAUUGUCGUCUGGUCUAAUCUCAAGGCCACUAGUUAUUGGCCAUUUUAAUUUGGGGACAAUAUUAAGGGAAAAUUAAGCAAACUUUUGAAGUAAAUUUCACAUAGUCUCCAGUGUUGAAUUGGGUUGGCCUCACUCAUGAUUUAAAUAAUAUAAGGUGGCUGAUGUAUUGGUAAUGCUUUGAGUAUUUGCAAUUUGUCAGUGCAUUAUGUUUGAUCACAGAUGAGAUAUUUUGAGGCAUAAAUGUUCGAAAGCUUAUUAUAGAGAUAAUGACUACCAUCUAAAUCUAAAUUUUCAGCAAUCAAAGAUACACUAUUCCAAUGCCCCUUAGGCAGUUGAUAAUCUAAAACACUAUCGUAAGUAAGAUAAAUAAAUCACAAUCUAAAUAUCUUCUGAGAAUGGAUAACUAUCUGAUGUCUGCCUUUGAGGUAGGUUCCUUUCUCGUGGAGCUGCUGAUCACUUGAAAAUGUCAAUUUGGUGUUCAAUUCUGACUCCACAGAUUUAUCCCAAGAAAAUAAUAUUAAUUAAAAUAUAAUGUAUAUUGUCAUAAGAUAAACUAAUGCUUCAGUGGUUUCUGUCAUACCAACUCUAUAUACGUGACGUUUGGGCUUGUGACACAAGGUGGCUUUUGAAAGGUUGUCGACAGUCAUUGUGGUUGCUGUAGUUCCUUUUUGGACAUGGACCUAGAAUAUGUUAGAAAUCUUGGAUGAUUUCUUAAACUGUUCUGGUAUUCAUGGCAUUCUAGAUAUUGAUGUUUGCUCCUAUGCAACCAAUGGGUAUACAUCAGAUUUCGGAAUUUUCUUGAUGUGAUUCAUCUAUUUCUUUUGCUUCCAUUCUGGCCAAGUUGAAUAUAUUUAUAUUUAAUCUUUGAUACUAUGUUAUACUUUGAAUGUGAUAGUAUUUUUGUCGGUUUAUUUUGUCUUUACUUUCAAAUUUAGACUCAAAAGUUGGUUGAAGGAAAUAUCUUUCAAUGCUUUGAUCGUUUGUGGUCUUCUUUUUCUAAUAGUUUGAGUUGUGUCUGUUGCUUUUUCUUCCUUAUUUUGGGUUUAUCUUUUGAUGAAAUUAUCUAACAAUGAUGGCCGCAGGUACACUCUUCGGUAUUAUGAGGUCUCUGUUUACCCACGAUAAUGGGGUGUCAGGAAGCUCUGACUUGCAAUGAGUUUGUAGUUGAAAUAAAAGAGGAAAAUUUCUUUAUGUUAUAACUAAGAUUCAAGAGACAAAAAAAAGUGUGAUCAAAAUAGCAUGGGAGAGAAGUGUUCUAUGAUGUUAUAACUAAGAUAGUAGAUACGAGAAAAAAAAAGUAAAGUUUAGUCAAAAGAGCAUGGGAGAGGUUAAAAAAAGUGGAAGAAGGAAAAAAAGUAAAGAAAAAAUAUAGUGGAGAAUGCUUGAUUUAUGCAACUCUGUAGAUCUUAUGUGCAAAAAAAACAAGAAAGAAAAGGUGUAGAUAUAGUUAUUUAACUUGAAGAACGAAAUCUGACAGAAAGAAUUGAAGGAGUUGAUGGUUUGAAGUUAGGCAAUGGGACAGGUGGUGUGAAGUCCAUUGUGCUAUCAGCAUAAUGAAACUCCAGGGACACCAGCAACUAGAGAUGCUGAAGACUGCCUAUACUUGGUGUCGGAGUUGGAGAGCAUUGGAUUAUAUUGUUGCUUAGCAUUCUUUGGUGAGGGGUCCUUGAUCUCUUGUUUGUGGUCUUAUCAUCUACUUCUGUCCAUAUCCUGUGAGCUUUGGAUUGUUUUUUUGCAUAGCAUUUGUUGUGAUACAACUUUGACCUUUUUCUUGUGACCUUGUCUUCUACCAUUCCUGUCCAAAUCGUGUCAACUCAUUUUUUAGGUGUUUGAUAAAACAACCCUUUUGAAGUUGAACUUAUAAUUCACUGAGUCAUUUGGACCUUUAUGUAUCGGAGAAAUUAUUUCUUUUUUCAAAGGGUACAAAUUGGAUUUGCAUCAGAUACUGAGGUUGAGAAUUAGGGAGCUGAAUAUUCGUUAUGUUCUUCUUAAUGUCCAAUUAAUCAUUAUUAUGGAAGUUCAUAAUUUUUGGCAGCCAAAUGACUCUUAGCAAUUUUUUAUUUGAAAGAUUAGAUGCUGAAAUCUCCCUUUUUGUCUUUUGUGUUGCAGAUUCAUUUUCUUGACCUUAGACUUCAUUAGUAUAAAAUGAUUUUCCUGUUUUGUUCUUGAUUACCAGCUUGCAUGCAAUAACCAAUUAAAUAUUAUCUUCUUUGAUCUUGUAAGCUAAUGCCAUUCCUGUCUUAUGUUUUUCCAUGAGCAACAAUAUGCAUUCUCUGAAAUAAUUGUGGAAAUAUGGUAAGUUAAAGUCAUUUUCGAAAAUAUCAGCAAAUCUUGGCCAUUUUAACUUUAAAUCUACUGAUCUAUUGGGUGAGAAGGUAUAUAGCCCAACUUAGGCAUGAAAAAAGUGAUAUGACAAAUGGCUUGAACAAAAAUUGUGUAAAAUGCCCAAAGAAGUUUAAAUGGGCACAUUGAAACAAUUUUUUGAUGCUGUAUUAUUAUAUUGGGACUAUCUUAAUUAAUGCUCUUAUUUUUCAUGUACCAGCAGAAAGUACUCGAUUAAUUUAAAGGUGUAAUUGUGUGAUCAUGAGAGGUGAGCAAUUAAAAAAAAAAUAUUUUCUUUUUCAAUUAAGAUGGGAUGACCUCUUGAAUAAAAAAAUGAUCAAUAAUAUUGAGGUAUAUUGUAUCUUACAUAGAUUGAUAAAUUUUUCAAAAUAUUGUUGUGCCAUAUCGAUUGGGAAGUAACCUAUUUUUGAACAUUCAUAUUGGAGAACAUGGGUGAAGUGAGACUUUUAACAACCUUUAUAGCUCACAAUGCCUUCGCCUAAAUCCUGCUGGCAUUAACAUUCCUCUAUUGGUUGAGGUUUGGGAUCAUCAAGAAGUUGCAUGUAUCUAGUUAUAAUUACUUUUAUUGUGGAAAAGAGGCUUUCACAAUGAGUAAUUUUUGAAGGAUGAAUUUUGUAAUUACACCCUUUUAACGUUGUUCAAGUUGGAUAAAUUAUGAUAACACAGUAUUUUGUAUGUUUGUGAUCCUGACAAGUGUGAUUUAGUCUGAUGUCUGAUAUUUUGUAAGUUUCUUGUUCCCCUCUUCUUUAGAAGCAAGAAGUCUCAUCUCUGCUUUGACAUAGUGGUUGUUUAUUGGUGUGUGUUUUGUUGGUAUGCCUUAGGUUCUCUUAACUAUAUGCAUGCUCCUAGUAACUUUAUUGUAGCAGCUUGAUUAAGCAUGACCUGAUGCCUUAUUAUUUGCCUGCACAUACCAAUUGUGUCUAUGAAUCAAUAGGUGGAUUAUGCUUGUACACCUGAAGAAGUCCAGCAGCAUUUCCAGUCAUGUGGAACAGUCAACAGGGUCACUAUUCUGACAGACAAAUUUGGUCAGCCAAAGGGUUUUGCUUACGUUGAAUUCGUGGAAGUUGAGGCUGUUCAGGAGGCUCUUCAGUUGAACGAAUCCGAACUACAUGGGCGUCAAAUAAAAGUUUGUUUAGUCUUGAUCUCAUGUUUUUAACUACUACUUUCGAACCAUUGGAAUUUGGAAAUAAAAAUAUUUCAGUUUUCUUAAUGAAAGGGAUGCCUCAUUGCAGGUAGCGGCUAAACGUACCAAUGUCCCUGGAAUGAAGCAGUUCCGUCCAAGGCGGUUCAAUUCAUAUGCAGGAUCUCCAUAUAGGAGGCCAUUCAUGCCACCAUACUUUGCUUCCCCAUAUGGCUAUGGGUUAGUAUAUAUAUAUGUAUAUUUUUUUACUGGCCUUGCAGUAUUGUUGUGACACAAGUUAUUUCAGAGAGAAUGCCAUUGACAAACUCUUAAAAUGUCUCUGCAGGAAGAGCCCCAGAUUCAGAAGGCCAAUGCGCUAUAGGCCUUAUUUAUGAUUAGCUGAUAAGAGACCCUUGUUAGCCUUUAAGUUUGUGUGCCAAACUUUACUGAACUGGUGUGAUAUCUUGCCAGUACUUGUAUGACAUUUUAUGAUUAAAGUGUUCCUAACAAAGACAUUGAAAAGAAGUUUGGACCAUGUAAUUUUUUGCUUGCUAAUUUCUGUACUUGGGUCAGUCUUGCCACCAUCGAUGUGUCAGACCAUUGUUUUUGGUUUUUCCUUUUACUUGUGUUGCCUGCUUUGUCUUUCAUGCUUGCUGGACAAUUCGCAUUAAGAUUGGUAACUUGCAGCUUCUUUUAAUUCUAUAUAUGUGAAAUCCUCGCAUGGUGGCUCUGUUCAUCUUUAUUUGCUGCAGUAGCUUCCCGAGUUGAUCAUGCUUGAAACGUACUCGGCCAUCCACUGUCAGAUCCCUUUCUUGACGGGUUGACUUUGAGAAUCGCAAGUCAGACCAAGCCUUUCGAUAUUCUGAUCAAGCACAAUUUCUAAGUUGAGACUGACUGACCUGUGGAUGCUCCAUAAACAGUUUAUAUUAGGACGAACUAUAUUGAGAUUUGUCUAACUUACUUGCAGAGAUAAGCCUGUCCAUGAUGCUGAAACGUCAAUAAUGGAAGUGAAGACCCAACAGGAGAACUUUUAUCUUUCCUGAAGUCUUCCCCCUCGGCCACUCCCUCUAGUGCCCCAAGGCACUUCGUCCGUCGGUGGGGGGAGUUCUACUCCUCCGCGUCCACGAUCAGGUACAAAAAUCCUGGGUUGUUUCGUGUUCUCAGCCGGUGACACUAGCGUUGCCGGUAGAGCAUGGCAGAGCUCGACCAUUUUUUUUCUUUUUCUCCUCAUUUUUCGAAUCUUUAUAAAUAAAGGAGGUAAGAAGAUACUAAUUUACCAGUUUAACAGUGGAUUUUUUGUCCGUUGCUUCAAUCACUGCAUCAUUUGCGUCAUUGUCUUGUACGUGCUUAGGACCUCCUUGAGGAGGCAAAGAGAUUCUGGUACGUGGAAUCUCGGGGCUUCUCUAUACCGCCUCAGCGCCUUGCAACAUGCGGCAGCAUUUGCUUGGUGCACUUCGAAGAAGGCGAAGAAGUAAGGAGGCUGAGGUGCGGCCAUCUUUACCACACCGUCUGCACCCGCCGGUGGUGGGAGGUCGCCAGGAGUUGCCCCGCAUGUAGGGACGGGCACCUCCUUGCGACCUCCCACCACCGGCGGAUGUAAAGUUGGCCGCACCUCAGCCUCCUUAUUUCCUCGCCUUCUCCGAACUGCACCAAACAAAUGAUGCGCAUGUUAUAACGCGCUGAGGCGGUACAGAGAACCGCCGGGACUCCUUAUAUCCUUAUUUCCUGGCCUCGUGAAAGAGGCCCUAAGCACGUACAAUACAAUGAUGCUGACGAUUGUAAUAGAAUGAUACAAUACAUUUGCGGGUCCAAAGAGCGGAAUAUUGAUAACUAGAAGUAAAACAUAUCAAUCAAGUAUUCAAAAAAAAAUUAAUAUUAGGAUCUCCACAUCAUCAAAUAUAUUAUUCGAUAGAAAAUAUCAAAAUAAAGGAUUCAGAUCCUUACCUUUUCCUUUCGCAAGUGUUACCUUAAAAUAACCUUCUUCUCUGUUUUUUUUGGCCACACUCUCGAUCAUGAUUAGCUAGGAGGAUGGAUGUAUAUUUAUAUAUAAAGGAGAGCGAUCCCUUAAAGAUCUCUCUUCUAAUAUGCAUUACACUAUCUUUCCUAAAGAUCUCUCUGUGAUCCUCCCAAAUUUAAAUGUAUUACACUAAAUCUUCUAAAGAUUUUCUCAUGAUCGUAAAUUAUACCUCUAUGGACAAACAAAGAGAUAGGUUUAUCGACCCUUAGAUAGGAGAGAAGAGAGGUUUUUUCACUUAAGGAAGGAAAUCAAUCAUAAUAAUUUUAAAAUUAUUAUUUAAUUAAAUAAUCUAAUCUAAUAUUUAAUUAGAUAUUUUAUUAAAAAUCUCUGGACUAUUGGCCUUUUAUAGGAUGUUGGUUUUUUAUAAGAUGUCGUCGUCCAUAUUUAAUUUUACGUGGAAACCCUUUUUUUACUUAGAACAAAAAUGCUUUUACACUUUUACUUAAAUAUCAUUAUUUUGAUGAUAUAUUCUAUUCAAAAAAUCUUUAAUUUUGAUAAUUAAUUAUCAUAAAAUCUUUAAAAAAAAGAAAAAAAAAUGGUACUAAUAAUCUUAGAAUCAUAUCAUAGUGAUUCUAUGAAACUUUGAGUUGGUUUAGUUUUUCACUUAGAAAUUUAACUAAGUUACACUCGACUAUAAUAUUAGUUUUUCAAAGUCUUAAGUUUCGAUAAUUAACUAUUAUUUUUUUAAAAAAAAUAUUAUAAUAAUUAUUAUUUUAUAAUUAUGUCUUAAUAAUUCUAUGAAAGUUUGUAUUGGUUUAGUAGAAGUUGAUUAGGUUACCCUUGAAAUUGAAUUAAGUUACACUCGAUAAUAAAAUCUAUUUAUUUUUAAAUUUUAAUAAUUAAUUAUUAUAAAAAUAAUUAGAUAAUUUGGUGGAAGUUUGAGUUGGUUUAUGGAAGUUAAUUAAGUUAGACUCAAAAUUGAACUAAUUUACACUCGUCACAAAACAUAUUCAACAAAUCUCUAAUUUUAAUAAUUAAUUAUCAUAAAAUCUUAAAAAAUAAUGCUAAUCAUCUUAAAAGAUGUCCUAGUGGUUUUGUGAAAGUUUAUGUUGGUUUAGUAGAAGCUGAUAAACACUCAAAAUUGAUCUAGGAUAUACUCGAUCAUAGAAUUAGUUCAAAAAAAUUUAAAUUUAAAUAAUAAACUAUUAUAAAUGCUCAAUUAUAAAAGGAGUUUUAUCGGACGUGGCUCUAAUAUAGUUUUACAAGGUCUUGGAUUCGUAGCUCUCACUCUUGAAUAUAUUAACCUAUGACAUAUUCAAGAAAAGAUCAUCAUUAGAUUCGAGUCACAUUUUGAUAGAAGAUAAGAUUUCCCCAACUUGAUAGAGGAUAAGAUUUCCCCAAUUAUACGAGGAAAUCUCUCUAUUCUAUUUAUUCUGUUGAGGGAAAUCCUUCCUCCUAAUCUGUAUAAAUAGGAGAGGGAACAUGUUAAUAGAUUCAAGCUAAAGCUAUUUCAUUUCUACAAUAAAGCUUCUUCAAUAUUUGUUCUUAUCUUCUAUUAUUUCUAUCAUGGUAUUAUUUUAAUAUUAUUCCUAUUAUUUCAAUAAAUAGGAAAUCGCUCUUGCUUUUGGCCAGCGACCAACGCCGCUGAGAAAAGCGAAGCUUCGCCCUUGUCUUCGGCCAGCGAUCAACGCCGCUAUAGCCACAUUCUUGAGAGGCUUCACGGCCAAUCCUCAUCUUCCUCACCGCGGUAGUCUUCGCUGAUCUGCCAACAGUCGGCGGACUUAAGGAGAACGAAGGGCGGAUGUAAGGAGAACGAAGGGAACGCCUGUGCCCUCACAGCAACAGCAAUCGCAACAACAACAGCGAUCUGCUCUUGCCCUACUCACGAAGCCUCUUGCUUUAAACCAUUCUUUGCAUCGAUCCAAGAUUGGUAGCCUCUCUAUUCUGUUUAUUCUGUUGAGGGAAAUCCUUCCUCCUAAUCUGUAUAAAUAGGAGAGGGAACAUGUUAAUAGAUUCAGGCUAAAGCUAUUUCAUUUCUACAAUAAAACUUCUUUGUUAUUAUCUUCUAUUAUUUCUAUCACAUUUAAGUAAGAUCAAAUUAAACUUUAGUGGAAUCUUAUUAAACUUUCUCGAUGCAAUCAAGAUGGAACAAAUUUUCCCAUUGGGGAUCUAAAUCCAAUCUUCACUUUCAAAUGCCUGAAUCCAUAGUGUUUCGUUGACUGAUGUAAUUAUAAACCACCCAUUAAUCACUCCACAGCUGAAUCCCCUCUAGCCAACCAUCAUAGUUGCCACAGAAGCCUUCAACAAAUUGAUUCAAACAAGUGUAAGUGUGAGCAGGAGUGGCACGUAUCUUCAUCUCAAACUUACCACAUACGGUGCAACUUGCGGACCCAAAUCCCAAGUCGUGUCAUCUUCUCCGGCACCAUCUCCUCUCCUGGUAUCAUACUAAAUCACACCCACUCCAAAAUGAAACAUCACGAGGAGCGUCAUCACCACCUUGUCCAUUUGAGUCUCGAUGAGAAUUCCGUAUACAUAUGUUGGAGGCAUUUACCUUUCUUUAACAUAAUUUAUAAUUCUCGCAGAAUCGAGGAUUAUUUACAGAAAAAUUCCAAAGAUAUGGUACUCCGCCAGUGGCUACUGUCAGGCCACGCGAACACGCCGCUCCCCUUCGGCAUGACAUUCUCCCAGUGGCCGCCGUAGCGGUUGCCGUUAGCUCAAAUGAGCGCCCCACGGUCGGAUAUUACGCCGUUCCGCUACUCAUCGACGUACUGGUACCCGCUCCGCCACAAGUACCGGCCAUAGCCCUCCUGUAGGUUGCGCUACCAGCCGCCCUCGUGAUAGUUGCCGUUGGAGUACCACUUGCAUCCGUACUCGUGCUCUCGGUCGGCGACACCGAGCUCGCCCCCGAAGGUCGCGUUGGAGGGCAACGAGAACUUUCCCUUUCCGGAAGCCUUCCCCCUCGUGCAUGCACCGGUCGGCCCGACGUGUUGCCGAAGAGCCUAUAGAGUUCGACCCUUUUUGUCUUUUUCUCCUCAUUUUUUGAAUCCUUACAAAUAAAGGAGGUAAGAAGAUACUAAUUUACCAGUUUAACAAUGAAUUUGUCCGUUGUUUCGAUCAUCUACAUCAUUUCUAUCAUCGUGUAGUACGUGCUUAGGGCCUCCUUAUCGAGGCAAAGAGAUCUGCUCCGUGGAGUCCCGACGGUUCAAUAUACCGCCUCAGCGCCUUCCAACAUGUGCGUGCUCUGUGUGGUGCACUUGGAAGAAGGCAAAGAAGUAAGAGGCUGAGAUGCGGCCAUCUUUACCACACCGUCUGCAUCCGCCGGUGAUGGGAGAUCGCCAGGUGGGGCACCUCCUGGCGAUCUCCCAUCACCAGCGGAUGUAAAGAUGGCCGCACCUCAGGCUCCUUAUUUCCUCGCCUUCUUCGAAGUGCACCAAACGGAUCACGCAUAUGUUGUAACGCGCUGAGGAGGCGGUAUAGAGAACCGCCGGGACUCCUCGAAGCAAAUCUCUUAGCCUCGUCAAGGUGGCCCUAAGCACACACAACACAAUGAUGCAAAUGAUGCAGAUGAUCGAAACAACGGUGACAAAUUCAUUGCUAAAUUGGUCGAUUAGUAUCUUCUUACCUCCUUUAUUUACAAGGAUUCGAAAAACGAGGAGCUCUGCAGGCUCCUCGACAACAUGUCAACAUGAUCAUUGCCUCCGAUCAUGUCCAGACUCGUCGGUGCUCUCGCGUGGCUUCGGACGUCGUAACUGUACUUCAAUGAUUUUGACAUCCAAAGAUCGGCAUAUUGAUCGCUAACAACUUAAAUUAAUUAGAUAAUCAUAAUUUGAGGGUCCAAAGAGCGGAAUAUUGAUCGCUAGAAGUAAAGAACAUCGAUUAAAUACCUAAAAUUUUUAGAAUAUUAAUAUCCAAGAGGUAAAUAAAUAAGAAAGGAGAAGAGUAUCAUCAUACCAUCAAAUGAAUUAUUCUAUAGAAGAUAUGAAAAUAAAGGAUUCGGAAUUCUUACCUUUUUUCUUUCGCAAGUGUUAUCCUAAAAUCACCUUCUUCUUUCUUUUUCUUUUAACUACACUCUCAAUCAUGAUUAGCGAGGAGGAAGAUGGAUGUAUAUUUAUAUUAUGGAGGGGAGCUAUCCCUUAAAGAUCUCUCUCAUAAUCUUCCAUAAUAAAAAUGUAUUACACACUCUCUCUCUCUAAAAAUCUUCGGCGUGACAUUCUCUAAUUUAAAUGUAUUACACUACAUCUCUUAAAGAUUUUCUCACACUUGCUAAUCGUAGCUCUAUCGAUGAAUAAAGGGAUUUGUCUAUUCACUCUUAGAUAGGGGAGAAGAGAGGUUUUCCCACUUAAAGAAAGAAAUUAAUUAUAUUAAUAUUAAAAUUGUUAUUUAAUUAAAUAAUAUAAUCUAAUAUUUAAUUGGUUAUUUUAUCGAAAAAUCCCCUAACUAUUGGCUUUUUAUAGGAUGUUGACAUCCAUAUUUAAUUUUACAUGGGGAAAACAAAAAAUUCUUUAGACUUUUACUUCAAUGAUUUGAUGAUAUAUUCUAUUAAAAAAAUCUUCAAAUUUGAUAAUUAAUUAUCAAAAAAUUUUAAAAAUAAAAAAGUGAUACUAGUAAUCUUAUAAUCAUAUCAUAGUGAUUCUAUGAAACUUUAAGUUGGUUUAGUGGAGGUUAACAAAAUUACACUCGACUAUGAUAUUAAUUUUUUAAAGCCAUAAAUUUUGAUAAUUAACUAUUAUUAAAUUCUUAAAAAAAUAUAUUAAAAAAGUUAUACUAAUCAUCUUAUAAUGGUAUCUUAAUAAUUGUAUGAAAGUUUAGAUUGGUUUAGUAGAAAUUGAUUAGGUUACCCUCGAAAUUGAAUUAAGUUGCGCUCGAUUAUAAAAUUUGUUCAAAAAAUCUCUUAAUUUUGAUAAUUAAUUAUCAUAAAAUAAAUUAGAGUCACGAUCAGAUAAUUUGAUGGAAGUUUGAGUUGGCUUAUGAAAGUUAAUUAAGUUAGAUUCAAAAUUGAACUAAGUUACACUAACAUUUUCAACAAAUCUCUAAUUUUAAUAAUUAACUAUCAUAAAAUUUUAAAUAAUAAUACUAAUCAUCUUAAAAGAUAUCCUAGUGAUUUUGUGAAAGUUUAUUUUGGUUUUAUAGAAGCUGAUAAAGUUACACUAAAAUUAAUCUAAGUUAUACUCAAUCAUAGUCUUGAUUCAAAAAAUCUUAAAUUUUAAUAAUAAAUUAUCAUAAAUAUAAUUUUAUCAGACAUAGUCCCAAUAUAGUUUUACACGGUCUUGACAUGUGGAUUCGAAGCUGUCACUCUUGAUUAUGUCAGCCUAUGACAUAUUUAGGAAAAGAUCAUGAUUAGAUCCAAAUCAUCUUUAAUAUUAGACAAUCAAAAUAUAACAUAAUAGAUUAACGCCAGAAGAAAAGCAUCCUUUGUGGAUGCAAUCAAGAUGGAACAAUUUUCUUGAGUCUUCGUCUAUAUCUAAUCUUCACCUUUAAAUACCUAAAUCCAUAGUGUUUUGAUCCCUAUUCAGCGACGUAAUUAUAAAUCACUUCACAGCUGAAUCCCCUCUACCCAACCAUCAUAGUUGCCACAGAAGCCUUCAGCAAAUUGACUCAGACAAGUAUGAGUGGUAGAGCAGGAGUGGAGUGUAUCUUCAUCUCAAACUUACCGCAUCUGGUGCCAAUUGCACUUUAAGGACCCAAAUCCCAAGUCGUGUCGACCGCACCUUCUCCAACACCAGCGCUCCUAGUGUCAUGGCCAAAUCACACCCACUACAAAAUGAAGCAUUACGAGGAGCAUCAUCACCACCUUAUCCAUUUGACUCUCCAUGAGAAUUACAAAGGGAGUCGAAAGUUCAUUUCAUAGAACUCGCCUAUAGACACGGAAGCAUCUUUUAAAUAUAAAAUAGUGCCAUGAAGAUACGAAGAACAAAAUUAAACGAAAGAAGCUAAAGCUAAUAUACCUUACAUUUAGUGGACUUUUAUCCAAGACCAUUGAAUGAACCCAUUCCUACGAGGAUUCGACUAUCGACACUAGAGACCUAUGAUGCUUUCUAGUAAAAGUGUCAAUCGGACCGAACGAAGACAAGAAAUGCUUCCCUUAUAUCCAUCCCUAUAACCCUAUUCCCCAUAUGAACAAGGUGGGGGCGACGAUGGGGAAUCCCCAUUGGGGUUAAGAAUCCAUGAGUUAUCUAUAUCCUCCUAAUUAAUUUAUUUAAUUUUAAAAAAAUAAAAUUUCUAUCAAAUUUAAUUAACAAUAUGGGUUCUCUGAUCAUCCUAAUUGGGGGUGGGGAAUCAUCAUCAUUAUCAUUUAUUGUUCGUUAUUUCCAAUCAUUGAUUGUCGAAGAAAUCAUCAUUUGUUGACGAAGAGAAAAAAAAUAUAAAAACAAAGUCAAAUAAUUAACAUGAUAUCACAUGUGAUAAGGGAUGUGAUUAUUAUGAAAGAAGUAAUAUUUUACAGUAAAAAGUAUUAGUUGGCUUAAUUGAUUAAUAUUUUAAUAGUUUAUAGUAAGAUUAUAGGUUGAUUAUCCUUCGUAAAAAAAAUAUUCCAUAUUCGAUUGUUGACGCUACCAAGUGAACAAGAAAUAAUAUUCAACGAGGCAAAUGGGUUGUGGUCGGCUGUAAUAUUUAAUUAGGACGAGGAGGUUCCAUAUAUAUAUGUUGGAGGCAUUUACCUUUCUUUAACAUAUGUUGUAAUUCUCAUAGAAUUGAGGAUUAUUUACAGACAAAUUCCAAAGAUAUACGUAGCAGCUGCCGUCCGGCCAAGCGAACACGCCGCUCCCCUUCGGCACGACAUUCUCCCAGUUGCCAUUAGCCCAGAUGAGCGCCCCACGGUCGGAUAUUACGCUGUUCCGCCACUCGCCGUCGUACUGGUUCCCGCUCCGCCACAAGUACCAGCCACAGCCCUCCUGUAGGUUGCGCCACUAACCGCCUUCGUAAAAGUCGUCGUUGUAGUAACACAGGAGCCGGGGCAGGUGCUGCCCUCCGACUCGGUGAAGGUCCAGAAGCCUUCCAUCCGGCCGGAACGGAACACCCCCCUGAAGGUCACGUUGGAGGGCCACGAGAACUGUCCCUUUCCGAAAGCCUUCCCCCACCGCCACUCCCCCUCGUGCAUGCACCAGUCGGCCCCAAGGCACUUCCCCCGUCAGUGAGGAGAGUUCUGCUCCUCCGCGUGCAUGCAUCACUGACGUGUUGUCGAAGAGUCUGCAGAGCUCAUCUUUUUUCUUUUUGUCUCCUCAUUUUUUGAAUCCGGAGCUAAGAAGAUACCAAUCGACCAGUUUAACAAUGGAUUCGAUUCUUCAGUCAUCUGCUUAAUCAUUUUUGUCUUGUACGUGCUUAGGGCCUCGUCGACGAGGCCAAGAGAUUUGCUUCGAGGAGUCCCGGCGGUUCUUACACCGCCUCAGCGCGUUACAACCUGUGGAUGAUUUGUUUGGUGGACUCUGAAGAAAGCGAGGAAAUAAGGAUGCUGAGGUGCAGCCAUCUUUACUGCACCGUCUGCAUCCGUCGGUGGUGGGAGGUCUAUGAGCGGAUGCAAAGAUGGCCGCACCUCAGCCUCCUUAUUUCUUCGCUUCUUCGAAGUCCACAAAGCAAAUCACACACUGGUUGUAACGCGCUGAGACGGUAUAGAGAGAGAACCGGUGGGACUCCGAGAUCUCUUUGCCUCCUCAAGGAGGCCCUGAGCGCACGUACAAGACAAACAUGGUCAAGCAGAUGAUUGAAGCAAAGGACAAAUCCAUGCUAAUCUGGUCAAUUAGUAUCAUUUUACUUCCUUUAUUUUUAAGGAUUCGGAAAAUGAGGAGACAAUAAAGAAAAGGGAGCUCUGCAGACUCCUCGACGAUAGAAGAGAUAUCCGUACUUGCGAACGAAACAGAAGUUGUGAUAUGCACCCAAGUACUUGAUCGAGAAUAGGAUCUCCAUACCAUCAAAUGUAUUAUUUUAGAAGAUAUAAAGGUUUUGGAUCCUUACCUUUUUAUUUUACAAGUGUUACCCUAAAAUCACUUCUUCUCUCUUCUUAAGUCACACUCUUGACCAUGAUUAGCAAGGAGGAGGAUGGAUGUAUAUUUAUAUAUGAAUGGGAGAUAUCCCUUAAAGAUCUCAUAUAUAAUUUUUUAUAAUGAAAAUGUAUUACACUACCUCUUUUAAA
rnacentral:lncRNA from 1 species